UAUUAUUUUUGAUGUAAAAAAAUUGAUACUUGAGUAGUAAUAGUUAAUGUCUUGAAACUUAAAGAAUUUGGCGGUAUUUUAGUCUUAUUAGAGGAAUCUGUUUAUUAAUCGAUAAUCCGCGUUGGACCUUACUUAAUUUAUUUCUUUGUAUACCUCCGUUAUAAUGAGUAUCUUUAAAGAGUUAAAAUUCUCUUUAAUUUUUAUAUAAAGUAUUUCAGGUCAAGGUGCAGGUUAUUAUUAAGUUUAUAUGGAUUACAUUGUUUUUUAUUUUAAAUUGGAUUUAUUAUUGUAAUUUUUAUUUGAAACUGGAUUUGAUUGUAAUUUUAUGUAUUUUAUUUAUUUGAAUUUGGCUCUAAAAUGUGCACAUAUCGCCCGUCGCUCUCGUUUUUUAAUAU
rnacentral:rRNA from 1 species